AACGAACGCUGGCGGCAGGCUUAACACAUGCAAGUCGAGCGCCCCGCAAGGGGAGCGGCAGACGGGUGAGUAACGCGUGGGAAUCUACCCAUCUCUACGGAAUAACGCAUGGAAACGUGUGCUAAUACCGUAUACGUCCUUCGGGAGAAAGAUUUAUCGGAGAUGGAUGAGCCCACGUUGGAUUAGCUAGUUGGUGGGGUAAAGGCCUACCAAGGCGACGAUCCAUAGCUGGUCUGAGAGGAUGAUCAGCCACACUGGGACUGAGACACGGCACAGACUCCUACGGGAGGCAGCAGUGGGGAAUAUUGGACAAUGGGCGCAAGCCUGAUCCAGCCAUGCCGCGUGGGUGAUGGAGGCCCUAGGGUUGUAAGCUCUUUCACCGGUGAAGAUAAUGACGGUAACCGGAGAAGAAGCCCCGGCUAACUUCGUGCCAGCCGCCGCCGUAAUAC
rnacentral:rRNA from 1 species